CGGGGGGAGCAAGCGUUGUUCGGAUUUACUGGGCGUAAAGGGCGCGUAGGCGGCCUCCGCAAGUCAAUUGUGAAAUCUCCGGGCUUAACUCGGAAAGGUCAACUGAUACUGCGGGGCUAGAGUGCGGAAGGGGCAACUGGAAUUCUCGGUGUAGCGGUGAAAUGCGUAGAUAUCGAGAGGAACACCUGCGGCGAAGGCGGGUUGCUGGGCCGACACUGACGCUGAGUGCGCGAAAGCUAGGGGAGCGAACGGGAUUAGAUACCCCGGUAGUCCUAGCCUUAAACGAUGAAUGCUUGGUGUCUGGGGUUACAAAGUCCCCGGGUGCCGACGCUAACGCUUUAAGCAUUCCGCCUGGGGAGUACGGUCGCAAGACUG
rnacentral:rRNA from 1 species